UACAGAGGUCCCGAGCGUUGUUCGGAUUCACUGGGCGUAAAGGGUGCGUAGGUGGCGCGGUAAGUCGGAUGUGAAAGCUCGGAGCUCAACUCCGAAAUGGCAUUGGAAACUACCUUGCUCGAGGGAUGGAGGGGGGACUGGAAUUCUCGGUGUAGCAGUGAAAUGCGUAGAUAUCUGGAGGAACACCGGUGGCGAAGGCGGCAUCCUGGACCGGUAUUGACGCUGAGGCGCGAAAGCUAGGGGAGCAAACGGG
rnacentral:rRNA from 1 species